UAAAAAUGGCUAAAAGCAAAGAUAUAGAAUUUUCUCAUAUCAUAAACGAAAUCAAUAACAAUAUAGAUCAACAAAGCAAAGAAGUCAAUAAAAAGCUACACGCCAUACGUGCCUUAAAUGACAAAAUUGCCAUAACAAAUACAUGUGUCAAUUCUUUAAGAGAAAGGUUAGAAUAUCUGCGGUGUCAAUCAAGUAUAGCUUCAUGCGAAAAGAGGAAGUUGAAUAAAAGUAUCGCUGAACAAGAUUUAAGAUUAGACGAAUCAAUUGUUGAGAAAAUGAAAAUCGAAAACAAUGUUAAAAAGAU